rnacentral:rRNA from 1 species
UACGUAGGGCGCAAGCGUUAUCCGGAAUUAUUGGGCGUAAAGAGCUCGUAGGCGGUCUGUCGCGUCGGAUGUGAAAACCCAGGGCUCAACCCUGGGCCUGCAUUCGAUACGGGCAGACUAGAGUGUGGCAGGGGAGACUGGAAUUCCUGGUGUAGCGGUGAAAUGCGCAGAUAUCAGGAGGAACACCGGUGGCGAAGGCGGGUCUCUGGGCCAAUACUGACGCUGAGGAGCGAAAGCGUGGGGAGCGAACAGG